rnacentral:lncRNA from 1 species
UGUGCCAGGAAACGUGCUAAUUGCCAGGUGUGACACGUUAACCUCCUCUGGAGGAAGUGUGUGAGAAGCAGUUCAGCUGCUGGCUGAAGUGAAGUCACAGCCCUAGUAUGUGUAGGUGCUGUAUUACCAUUUGCAGAAGAAAGGAACCUGAUGCAAUCUUCAAGGUGCAGCAUGGCAAAGCUUUGUGAGAUGCUUUUUUCUGUGCUUUGCUUAAAAUGGUGGAAAACAAGUACUUGUUCAAGAAACAUUGGUGAUGCUUCUUACUGGAAUUGCUGAUGGAGUUAAGGCCUGCGAGAUAUCCAGAAAAGUAACAUAAAGAGAGAAAUUAUAUUAUGAUGGAUCCUGUCUUUUCCAAUGGAAAGCAUCUUGCAAUAAAUGCUAUACAAAAUCCAUCAAGUGAAGCACAAGUAUAGCUUUGCUAUGCUAUUACAGAGCAAGUACUUUCAAAAGCAUCCAUUGGAGGACACUAGCACCCAACAAAUUACAGAUCAACGCAUACAAUGUUAUCUAAUGACUAUAAAUAGUCUUUUAUGGUUGAGCAGAGCAAGGAACUCACAAGAAGAUCCUCCAAGGGUAGCAGGUGCUGCUUGUGUGAGGGUUGCUGAUUGUGCAUUGCUCAGUGUUCUCAUCUGUUAUGAACAUUUGUCAUCUGCUGCUAUGAUCUCCAUCUUCCAGCUUAGUUAGUACGUACUGCUAAGCCCGCCGCUUCUGGAGAUGAAAAUGGCUUCUGGAGUGUUGUUGUCUUGUUAGUACAGCAAAGAAGGUCUAUGGGGAAGGUUACUGCAUGUGAGUGGCAUCAACCGGAACAGCCCCUCCAGGCUUGUGGGAUAUUGCUGACCUGCACUCUACACUCGUGCUAUUUGGGGUGAUCUGCCUGCUGGGAGAUAUGUGGACUAGUGAACUGGAUAAAUCAGCAUGUAAUUCUGUAGAUGAAAAAGGUUUCAGAUCUGCCUCCAAAAUUCCAG